GUUCUGUGGAGGAAGAAGCUAGGGCUCAGAAUUAGAUGAAUUUUCCAGGAUCCAACUGGAAGUGGGCGUGUGGAGGUGGUCAGUACAGUUCUCAACACUGGUACUCACACAUCUGUAACAGGCAGGGACACGUCCCAAUAGAGAUUCCUAAACCUUUGGAGGUCCUUUUCUUUGUAUCUUCCUAUCCUUUUUUUUCUCAUUUUUUUUGUUUGUAAGACAAGGUUACAAUGAAGCCCACAUUGGUUUAGAGGUCACUAUUGGAAUUGAGGAUGAUCUUGAACUCUUGAUCUUCCCGAAUCUAUGUUCCUAGUGUUGGGAUUACAGGUGUGUGCCACCAGACCCAGCUUGUGAGACCCCCUUUUCAUUUCACUGUCCCAACGACUGGGGAAGUGGGAUCAGCGACCCUGUUCUACAGAAACUGACAAAUAUAUCCUAGAAUAUAUGUGUAAAUGCAUGAGAUACAAGAGAUUUAAUCUUGGGAAAGAAGAACAAGUUGCGGUACCUACAUCUCUCAACUUUAAAACUGCUAUACAGGGACAGUAAUGAAGUCAGGGGUCACUGCAAGGAUAGAGAUGAGUGGGAUAAAAUGGAGAGAUCAGGAGCAAAGUUUCGCAUUCAUGCUCAAUUGAUUUCAGACAGAAGUAGCAGGACAAAUGAAUGGAAGGAAAGUCUUUCCAAUCAAUGUUUCAGAGAUAAUUGGAUAUCUUCAUGCAAAUGAGUGAAGUUGGGCUCAGACAUCAUUCAAGAUACAAAGCUUAACUCAGUGGAUCACAGGCCUAGAUGUAAGAGCUGAGAGUAUUAGAGGAAAACAAAGGACUAGAGCUGCAUGAUUCCGGAUAAGCGGUCGCUUCUUUGAUGUGACACAAAAAUCACAGGCAACAAAAGAGAAAUGGGAUCUAAAUUGGACUUCAUCAAAAAUGUAAAAACUUGCCUUUCAGAGCAUAUUCUCAUGAAAGGAAAGGGAAAUGACAGCUCAUAGAAGGAGAGAACAUUCUCUCAAAUCGUGGACAAAUGGCUUAAAUGAAGAAUAUAUGAAAUCUUACAACAAUAAAAAAGACAGACAAGCCCAUUAACAAAUGGGCAAAGAACCAGAAUAAACAUUUCUUC
rnacentral:lncRNA from 1 species